GGGGGGAGGUCGGAUCCUGGGCUGUGUCCCCGGUGCCCUGUGUUCCCGGGGCUGUGCUGUUGGAUUCACGCUCCCCGCUGGGCAGCCCCCU
rnacentral:pre_miRNA from 1 species